rnacentral:rRNA from 1 species
CGACCGCGCACGGGUGAGUAACACGUAUCCAACCUGCCGAUGACUCGGGGAUAGCCUUUCGAAAGAAAGAUUAAUACCCGAUGGCAUAGUUCUUCCGCAUGGUAGAACUAUUAAAGAAUUUCGGUCAUCGAUGGGGAUGCGUUCCAUUAGCUUGUUGGCGGGGUAACGGCCCACCAAGGCAUCGAUGGAUAGGGGUUCUGAGAGGAAGGUCCCCCACAUUGGAACUGAGACACGGUCCAAACUCCUACGGGAGGCAGCAG